ACGCUCGACACCUACGGGAGGCAGCAGUGGGGAAUAUUGCACAAUGGGGGAAACCCUGAUGCAGCGACGCCGCGUGAAGGAAGAAGUAUCUCGGUAUGUAAACUUCUAUCAGCAGGGAAGAAAAUGACGGUACCUGACUAAGAAGCCCCGGCCUAACUACGUGCCUGCAGCCGCGGUAAUCUGAGCGGGCUGGCAAGGC
rnacentral:rRNA from 1 species